CGGCCAGUCCAGACUCCUACGGGAGGCAGCAGUGGGGAAUUUUCCGCAAUGGGCGAAAGCCUGACGGAGCAACGCCGCGUGAGGGAGGAAGGUCUUUGGAUUGUAAACCUCUUUUCUCAAGGAAGAAGUUCUGACGGUACUUGAGGAAUCAGCCUCGGCUAACUCCGUGCCAGCAGCCGCGGUAAUACGGGGGAGGCAAGCGUUAUCCGGAAUUAUUGGGCGUAAAGCGUCCGCAGGUGGUCAGCCAAGUCUGCCGUCAAAUCAGGUUGCUUAACGACCUAAAGGCGGUGGAAA
rnacentral:rRNA from 1 species